AACGAACGCUGGCGGCAGGCCUAACACAUGCAAGUCGAACGCACCUUUCGGGGUGAGUGGCAGACGGGUGAGUAACGCGUGGGAAUCUACCCUUCUCUACGGGAUAGCUCCGGGAAACUGGAAUUAAUACCGUAUACGUCCUGAGGGAGAAAGAUUUAUCGGGGAAGGAUGAGCCCGCGUUGGAUUAGCUAGUUGGUGGGGUAAAGGCCUACCAAGGCGACGAUCCAUAGCUGGUCUAAGAGGAUGAUCAGCCACAUUGGGACUGGGACACGGCCCAAACUCCUACGGGAGGCAGCAGUGGGGAAUAUUGGACAAUGGGCGCAAGCCUGAUCCAGCCAUGCCGCGUGAGUGAUGAAGGCCCUAGGGUUGUAAAGCUCUUUCAGUGGGGACGAUAAUGACGGUACCCACAGAAGAAGCCCCGGCUAACUUCGUG
rnacentral:rRNA from 1 species